GUUUUUCAAUCGAAAACUUCAUUCCCAAACUACAGUAAAACAAAAAGAAUUAUUGACAUAUCUUCUUUAAAAAGGUAUACGUUGAUAAUUCUUCUAGUAACAGAAAGCUUGUUAUAGUUUGAAAAUUUUGACAGCCAAAAACUUCAAGUCCAUAGAUUUUCUCUUUUUGAACAGUUUCAAGAUGUCAUGAAUCCUCCGUACAUAAUCGAUUCUCUCUAUAUAUCAUAAAGCUUAAAAGGUUUUGAACAUAGAUUAUAACUUUGAGCCAGUCAUAAUAUCUGUAGGCAAUAAAUGUAGGAUAUGAUAUGGUACAUAAAAAAUAUUAAAUAAAAUCAAAAUGUUAAAUGAUCUGAACUGACCCAGGGUCUGAAAUAUAUACAAG
rnacentral:misc_RNA from 1 species